UGAAGAAAAUAUUGGCUGUAAAUGCCAAGAAAAUACUGCUGAGUAAAGCAUCACUGUGCAAGAACACACAUGCAUCUGCAAAACACUACUCAAACAACCCGCCUGCAAGACAAGCAGUUGUUGGAUAGUUCAAGAGGAAAUUGUGGGAGAAAGACUGGAGGGGGUGUUGGGCAGAAGAAGAAACACUGAUAGCAAGGCCAUGGAAAAUUACUGAAACUACCCAAAAGCAGAAGAGGUGGCUAAAAUAUUUUCCUGAAAUGCUAUAAAAAUAGAGGCUUUCUUUUUUUUC